rnacentral:rRNA from 1 species
GAUGAACGCUGGCGGCGUGCCUAAUACAUGCAAGUCGAGCGAACGGACUAGAAGCUUGCUUCUCUGAUGUUAGCGGCGGACGGGUGAGUAACACGUGGAUAACCUACCUAUAAGACUGGGAUAACUUCGGGAAACCGUAGCUAAUACCGGAUAAUAUUUUGAACCGCAUGGUUCAAAAGUGAAAGACGGUCUUGCUGUCACUUAUAGAUGGAUCCGCGCUGCAUUAGCUAGUUGGUAAGGUAACGGCUUACCAAGGCAACGAUGCAUAGCCGACCUGAGAGGGUGAUCGGCCACACUGGAACUGAGACACGGUCCAGACUCCUACGGGAGGCAGCAGUAGGGAAUCUUCCGCAAUGGGCGAAAGCCUGACGGAGCAACGCCGCGUGAGUGAUGAAGGUCUUCGGAUCGUAAAACUCUGUUAUUAGGGAAGAACAUAUGUGUAAGUAACUGUGCACAUAUUGACGGUACCUAAUCAGAAAGCCACGGCUAACUACGUG